rnacentral:rRNA from 1 species
AAAGGGUGCGUAGGCGGCCUGUUAAGUCAGGGGUGAAAGACGGUCGCUCAACGAUUGCAGUGCCAUUGAUACUGGUAGACUUGAGUGAGAUUGAGGUAGCUGGAAUGGAUAGUGUAGCGGUGAAAUGCAUAGAUAUUAUCCAGAACACCAAUUGCGUAGGCAAGUUACUAAGUCUCAACUGACGCUGAGGCACGAAAGUGUGGGUAUCAAACAGGAUUAGAUACCCUGGU